AGGGGAACUCGUCGAUCAGCAAGAUUGACUGGAGUGCCACCUGAGGAUGAGGGCACGAGCGCCCGUCCUCCAGCAUUGCCUAGGGCAAUGUCUAGUAGGUCUAGCAGAGACAGAGCAGUAAGAGACCCUAGAAGGUCUUUGGAUCUGGGUAGGAGCAGAUCAGUUAGAGGAACAGUUCAGGGAGGAGCGUCAGAGGACAUGGGGGAUGAUAUGGACGUAGAGC
rnacentral:lncRNA from 1 species